AUAGGUUGUAGUUUAUAAAAAAGAACGCUUUACUUACACUAAAAAGGACCUAAAAGGUGACCUAUU
rnacentral:tRNA from 1 species